AUUUAUUUUAUUAUAUUUAUUUUUUGUUUAUUUAAUUAUUUAAUAUAAGUAAUUUUAUUGUAUUUUUGUCUUAGUAUAGUUUAUAGAAUUGAUUUUUUAAAUUAUAGUGUAUUGGUAAUGUAAGUGUUUUAUGAAAUAUUAUUUUAAAUUUUUUUAAGUAGAUUUUAUUUAUUGUACCUUUUGUAUCAGAGUUUAUCAAAAUUUUAGUAUUUAUUUUACUUGUCUCGAUUUGGGUUGAUUUAUAAAUAAUUUAUAGUUAAUGUAUCAUAAUUAUUAUUAAAUUAUGUAUAGAAAUGAGAUGUUAAUCGUUUCCCAAGUUAUCUAGUUUCUUAAGAAAAAAUUUAAUUUUUUAAAGUUAUUUGUUUUUAUUUAAUUUUUUAAGUAAAAAUAUUAACUUAUUUAUUCUUUAAGGGAUAAGCUUUGAAGUUAAUAACCUAUAAUUUAUUUUAUAGAAAUAUAAUAGUAAGCUUUAAACUAGCUAUCUUUAAGAUUACGUUUUAGUUCAUUAUAUUUUAUCUUGAUUUUAUAAAUAUUUUAGGUUUUUUAUUAAGAUUAUUAAUUUAAUUUUAAAAUUUUAGUAAUAAUGAUAGAAUUAGUAUAUUUAUUUGUAUGAAAUUUUUACCUUGUGAACUUAUUAUAAGGAACUAGGCAAAAUUGAUUUCCGCCUGUUUAUCAAAAACAUGUCCUCUUGUUUAUACUUUGAGGUCUGGCCUGCUCACUGAGCGUAUUUUUAAAGAGCCGCGGUAUAUUGACCGUGCAAAGGUAGCAUAAUCAUUUGUCUCUUAAUUAGUGGCUGGAAUGAAUGGCUUGACGAGAAAUCAACUGUCUCUUAAUAAAUUUUUGAAUUUAACUUUUGAGUCAAAAGGCUUAAAUUCUUCUUUAGGACGAGACGACCCUAUAGAGCUUGACAUUUUACUUUUAUAUAGUUUUUUGUUUGUCUUUCUAUAUUUAAUGAUGAUGUUUUGUUGGGGUGACAUGAAGAAUAGAUAAACUCUUCAUUAUUAUAUCAUUUAUUUAUGUUUGUUAUUUUGAUCCAUAAUUUAUGAUCAUAAGAUUAAGUUACCUUAGGGAUAACAGCGUAAUUGUUUUUGAGAGCUCAUAUCGACAAAGCAGACUGCGACCUCGAUGUUGGAUUAAGAAAAAUUUUGGGUGCAGGAGCCCAAUGAUUAGGUCUGUUCGACCUUUAAAUUCUUACUUGAUCUGAGUUCAGACCGGCGUGAGCCAGGUCGGUUUCUAUCCUAAGAUUAUUAAUCCAUAUUAGUACGAAAGGACCAUAUGGUUAAAAUAUUUUUUGUCAUAUUGAUUAAUAUUAAUUUAUUUA